rnacentral:rRNA from 1 species
AACAAAAUUAUUCGCCAGAGAACUACUAGCUAAUGCUUAAAACUCAAAGGACUUGGCGGUGCCUAAACCCACCUAGAGGAGCCUGUUCUAUAAUCGAUAAACCCCGAUAAACCCCACCUUUUCUUGCCAAUUCAGCCUAUAUACCGCCAUCGUCAGCUAACCCCAACAGGGACUAAAAAGUGCAAGAUCAUCAACCAUUGUGAACGUUAGGUCAAGGUGUAGCAUAUGAAAAGGAAAGUAAUGGGCUACAUUUUCUAAAUUAGAAUAUAACGGAUUAUCUCAUGAAACCUCGCAAUAUGAAGGAGGAUCCAGUAGUAAAAUUAAGAAUAGAGAGCUUAAUUUAAAUU